rnacentral:lncRNA from 1 species
GCUCCAGUUUUCUUGUACAGAGAUGGAAGUUGAUGGUCCACUUGGAUAUACAUAUGUCUGCUUAUUCACCACAUUUGACACCUAAUCAACAUUGAGAAACAAUUAAUAUUGUAUAAUUAGUAUAAUGGGAACAUUAAGCUCUUAAUUAAUGAUACAAAUUAUUUUUCAAGUUCAGUUUGAGAGAUCUGAAUGCAAGAUAUGGCC